AACGCACGAGACCUGCGGACCUGCGGAGGGAUCAUUACCGAGUUAUCAACUCCCAAACCCCUGUGAACAUACCCGAACGUUGCCUCGGCGGGACCGCCCCGGCGCCCCUAGCGGCCCGGAACCAGGCGCCCGCCGGAGGACCCAAACUCUUGCUUUAAACAGUGGCAUACUCUCUGAGUCUCACAAACAAAAAAUGAAUCAAAACUUUUAACAAUGGAUCUCUAGAUCGGAAGAGCACAC
rnacentral:misc_RNA from 1 species